AAUCUUCCGCAAUGGGCGAAAGCCUGAUGGAGCAACGCCGCGUGAGUGAAGAAGGUUUUCGGAUCGUAAAACUCUGUUGUAAGGUAAGAACAAGUACAGAAGUAACUGGCUGUACCUUGACGGUACCUUUUUAGCAAGCCAAGGCUAACUACGUGUCAGAAGUCGCGGUAAUACGUAGGUGGAAAGCGUCUUCCGGAAUUAUUGGGCGUAACGGGCGCGCAGGCUGUCCUUUAAGUCUGAUGUGAAAGCCCACGGCUCAACCGUGGAGGGUCAUUGGAAACUGGGGGACUUGAGUGCAGAAGAGGAAAGUGGAAUUCCAAGUGUAGCGGUGAAAUGCGUAGAGAUUUGGAGGAACACCAGUGGCGAAGGCGACUUUCUGGUCUGUAACUGACGCUGAGGCGCGAAAGCGUGGGGAGCAAACA
rnacentral:rRNA from 1 species